CUCACUAUGAAGACAAAGCUAGCCUUAAACUCACAAAGAUCUGGGAUUUAAGGCAGCACCAGUAAGCCUAGGUUAUUUUAGUAUUUUUGAGACAAGGUUUCAUAUGGCUUAGGCUAGCUUUGAACUUCGGAUCUCCCUGCCUUCGUCCCCUAGUGCUGGGGUUGCAGGUACCUGCUACCGUUCUCAUCUUAAAACACAACUUAAAAGCAUUUCUCUAAAGCAGGUGUAUUGGGUCGUCGGGCCUGUAAUCCACAUUCGGGAGGCGGAGACAGCCUGGACUACACACAGCAAGACUGGUUUUUGGGUUUGUUUGUUUUUUCAUGUUUUUCGCCUCUUUGUGUUGAGUCUUUUCUAGAAAGAGAAAAUCUUCUCAGACUUAACACGUCAGUAAAUCCGGUUUCAAAGAAGAGCGCAUUUCCUCUGGUAAGUCCGAAGACCCUGGAGCGUAGCCAGCUUUCAGUGUAAUGAGGAAAAAUGGUGUACAGGGAAGGACAGGCCCUUUCUGAGGGCGGAGCUGGCUCUCUGUGCUAGGAUGCACAGCCUCUGACUUGCUCUGACUGACACGAAGCGUCAUCUCUUCAGUCCUUGGCUGGACCUCCUUUUCUCAAACUGCUCCUCUGGGUGCCAGGAGCCCCUACUCCUAAAGCUCUGCUGGUCUCCACCGGCCCUGCUCCCUUGUCUAAGCUUGGACUCAGCUUCAGUACCAGUUCCUCGAGGUCACUUCCUGGAGUGAAGCAAGAUAAUCCAGAAUUUAAGGACACCCACUUUGGGCUAUUUGGCUCAAGAUUUCAAAGCAAAUGCUUAUGAUCCACAGCCAGAGCUGCACCUUUCAUUUGGACUUCAGAAGAAGUGUAAAGUGCAAAUCUGGGACAAACGGGCCGGCCGAGGUGCCUAUUCAACAUAUAUCCAAGUGGACCUGGCCUCCAGGUUCUCCCUGCAUCCCUUAGCCCCUGCCUGGUACAGGGUCCUCCUGGCUAGCACACCCUGCCCCCGAACCUGAACUUUCCAGCCCAGGGGGCUAGGCUGCUCAUUCCCCAGAGGUUCUUCCCUAUAUAAGCCAGACAUUUUGGUUACUGACUGUCUUAGUACCUUUGGGCCUCCUGGCCACUGCACCUGGUUCCCUUCUCUUCCCUUUCCCUCCUCCCCUCCCCCCACAUGACCUAGCUCAGCCUGGUCAUGUUCACUCUGGACUCUCCCAGAUGUCUCUGUGUCUGGCUAUGCUCUCCUAUGCUCUCCCUUUUAUCUACCAUAAACCUUUUCCUCCACCAUACCUAAGAGCAAUCACGUCCUUUUCCUUUUAAUUUCUUUCUCCCUUUCUUCCUUCCUUCCUCCUUCCAUCUCUCUCUCUCUCUCUCUCUCUCUCUCUCUCUCUCUCUCUCUCUCUCUCUCUCUCUCUCUCUCCACUCAUCUGAUACUUGAAAACUGGGAGGGGCAUAAAUGAGCUUCCCUUCCAAGGGGCUGCCAACCUGGCCCUCCUGGGUGUGGAUCACUUUUGACCGUGUCUGCUUCUGCCUCCCAACAUAUCUGGCUCCAAAUUCUAGAGCAUGAUUCCUCUAUGUGCUCCGACCAUCCGUCUCUCCUCGCCUACUUGGUAAGCGUCCUCUCUCUGGCUCCUGGAACCCACUAUGCCCUUUUGGGUGCCCAUCAGGAAAUGACUUGAAUCCACCUUUCUUGGGUCAAACGGACUCCAGAUAAGUACUGUCAAUCACCUGCCUAUUCUGCUUAUUCCUGAGGGUGGCCUCUCCCCUCCCCGUUUCCCUGGUUUUAGGACUCCCCUCCCCCAACUACCAGGACCAUGGGCCUAAAAGUUUCAAAUGUACAUCAUGGAUAAAAAUUUUCCUCUAAACUCCUAAACUUUACCCACU